GCUGGUACCUCAAAUCUCGGGAGAAAUAUUGACUUUUCAAUAAAUGGUGUUGGGACAACUUGGUGGCUAAGGAAAAAGAAAAAAUUUGACCCCAUACUCCAAAUGAAUCUGAGAAUUACAGAUAAAUACUAAAAAUAUUAUAACUGAGGUGUGAGGACAGCUUUCCAAAUGGGUGUCACAAUGAAAAGCAAUAAAAUAAUUAUUGAUUAAUAGGGUUACAUAAAAAGUUUGGAUGGCAUCAAGAUCCUAAGCAAAGUUGAAAGAACAUAUAUCACAAAGUGUUUGUUUCCCCAAGGUAUAAAAAGAUUUUAAAAAUUAAGAUGAAUUCUGGGGUGCUGGUAAUAUUGUUUCUUAACCCAGGUAGUGUUAUAUAUGUGUGUUCGGGUUGUGAAAAUGCAUCAAGCUCUAUGUUUAAGACAUGUAUUUUUCUGAUAGUAAUUGGGCAAAAGAUACAAAAAUGAGUUCUUUUCUUUGUGUCGGUUUUUUAAUUAUAAGAACUUACUAAGUUGGAUGCUUAGCUCAUUAAUUUUCAAACUUUCUUCCAUUCCUAUUUAAGCAUUAAAGGCUAUAGAUUCCUUAAUAUAUACUGCCUCAACUAUAUAUUCCUUAAUAUAUACUGCCUCAACUAUAUAUAUUUGAAAUGUAGUGUUUCUGUUAUUAAUUAAUCAUAAAUACUUUCUCAAUUUCAUUUGUAUUUCUUCCUUAAUCCAUGAGUUAUUUGAAAGUGUAUUUAUUUUUUAUGCAUGUAUUUUUCUAGCUAUCAUCUUGUUAUUGAUUUUAACUUAACUGGAUGACAGAGAAUUUUGUUUGUAUGGCAUCUUAGGAAAUUCUUUUGAGUUAUUUUAUGGUUUGAAAUAUGAUCAGUUCUUAUAAACUAUCAAUUUGUGCUUUAAUACAAUAUUUAUUCUCUGUGGGGUACAAUGUUCUACACAUUUUUAUUAAGCAAGUUUUUAAUUGUGUUGCUUCAAUCUUUACUGAUUUUUUGGUUUAAUUGAUCACAAGUACUGAGAUAGGUAUGUUAUAUUCUUUUUAAAAUUUUAUUUUAUUGUAAUAAGAUCUCUUUUUUUUUUUGAGGAAGAUUAGCCCUGAGCUAACAUCUGCUGCCAAUCCUCCUCUUUUUGCUGAGGAAGACUGGCCCUGAGCUAACAUCUGUGCCCAUCUUCCUCUACUUUAUACGUGGGAUGCCUGCCACAGCAUGGCUUGACAAGUGGUGUGUAGGUCCACACCCAGGAUCCAAACCAGUGAACCCUGGGCCACUGAAGUGGAAUGUGCGAACUGUACUGCUGUGCCACUGGGCUGGCCCCAAUGCUUCAUUUUUUAUUGCUGAAUAAUAUUCCGUUGUAUGGUUAUAUUACAAUUUACACAUUCUCCUCCUAAUGAGCAUCUG
rnacentral:lncRNA from 1 species